rnacentral:rRNA from 1 species
GACGAACGCUGGCGGCGUGCUUAACACAUGCAAGUCGAACGGAAAGGCCCUGCUUUUGUGGGGUGCUAGUGUGGCGAACGGGUGAGUAACACGUGAGUACCCUGCCCUUGAUUUUGGGAUAACUUCAGGAAACUGGGGAUAAUACCGGAUAGGAGAUCCUGCUGCAUGGUGGGGGAUGGAAAGUUUCGGCGGUUGGGGAUGGACUCGCGGCUUGUCGGCUUGUUGGUGGGGUAGUGGCUUACCAAGGCUUGGACGGGUAGCCGGCUGGAGAGGGUGACCGGCCACUUUGGGACUGAAAUACGGCCCAGACUCCUACGGGAGGAAGCAGUGGGGAAUAUUGCACAUGGGGCGGAAGCCGAAUGCGGCAACGCCGCUUGCGGGAUACCGGCUUUCGGUUUUUAACCCGCUUUCGCCUGUGACGAAGCGUGUGUGACGGUAAUUGGUAAAGAAGCACCGGCUAACUACGUG